rnacentral:lncRNA from 1 species
CUUGGUUUGGUUUAUAGUUGGUAUUGAUUAGAUUUUGGACAGUCCAAGGAAGUGGGGACAUAUUUGAUAAAGACGCAGCAAAUAAUGCGUGUCAACGUGUUGAAGUUCACUGCAUUUUGCAUAAAGAUAUUAUCUGUAUACAUUGCAUACAUACACUAGCUGAUUCUUUCUCAAAAUAUUCUGUUCUGGCCAGCAUUUUGCAUCAAAGGAAACGCAUUCUCUACUUUUAUCAAUCUAGCUUGAUUGUCAUAGCAUAAGUCACAGCCAGUUC